GGUGCGGGCCAUGGCGGCGGCGGCGGCGGCGGCGGCGGAGGAGCAGCGGCAGCAGCUGCGCAGCCUGCGGGACUUCCUGCUGGUGUACAACCGCAUGACCGAGCUCUGCUUCCGGCGCUGCGUCUGCAACCUCAACUACCGGCUGCUCACCGGGCGCGAGGUCCUUGAUCCCCUGAUCCACUGGUUCUUGUGCCCCUCUUGUUCCUCGAUCCGCUGAUCCCGGGUCACCAUCCUGUAGGAAUCCUGCCUCGACAGCUGUGCCUCCAAGCUGGUGCACUCCAACCACCGCCUCAUGCGCUCCUACGUGGCGCUGAUGCCCGGCAUCCUGCAGCGCCGUGCAGCCGAUUCGGCGUCCCAGGAGCCGGCACUUCCCGCAGCCCCCCCUGGCCCCAUGGCGGCUCCCGACAUGGGCACGUAGCGGGCGGAUGGCCCCGGGAUGGAUCCGGCCCCGGGAUGGAUCUGGGCCUGGUGCUGGGCUGAGCCUGUGUACGCUGAGCGGGAGCUCACGCCGCUCUGGACCCAGCUGUGCGGAUCCGCAGCCUCCAUCAGGAUUGGGAACCUCCGUCAGGAUCAGGAACCUCUGUCGGGAUCAGGAACCUCCAUCAGCAGCCACCGAGCCUGUCCAGUGGCACCGGGAAAGGGAUCGCAGCGCCAGUGCCUCCAGUGGGGGAUUCCCACUCGAACUCGGUGCCGGCGGCUCCGUGCUGGGCUCUGGCUCCAGCACCGGGGCUCGGAUUUUCAGGAGUGUUUUCCUCGUGCUAAUAAAGUGUCUCAUCCCUGA
rnacentral:lncRNA from 1 species